GAGUGUUAAUUCAAGAAGGAAAACAGAAAUCUACUGAAGUCAUGAAAAGCACCCAGGAACUCAGAGAGAAUGCUGGCAAACAGCCAUCAUGAUGGCAUCUGCCUGACAAAAAUACUUUAAAAAAUUAUCAUAUAUUAUUCUUCAUAAAGAAUCCCCGGUUUCUUUUUGGUGUUUUUUCUGCUUUCCACUAUUGAUCAUGUUGGCUAGAGACUAAUUCCUACUGCCUGCCUCCAUCAUAGAAUCCAAGCCUUCCUACAGGCCCCUCAUAGUGUGCUCCUGAGACUCUGAACUGUACGUGAGUGAAACAAGAAAUCUAGAAAUUUUGAAGGCCAGAAUCCUCACAG
rnacentral:lncRNA from 1 species